AUAUCUUAGUCCUUAGCGAGAGUUUUUUUUAAAAUGGGGAUUUUACAAUUUCCUUUAGUUGUAAUGGCAUUAGGCUUUUAUGGUGUUCAGGCUCAAAUCACACUGAAAGAAUCGGAUCCUGUAACUCUACGGCCAGGACAGUCACAUAAAUUGUCGUGUAAAGCCUCCGGAUUUACAUUCAGUAGCUACGACAUGGACUGGGUCCGUCAGCCUCCUGGUAAAGGACUGGAAUGGGUGGCAGUAAUAAGCAGUGAUGGUGGUAGCCAGUAUUAUGCAUCAUCUGUGCAGGGAAGAUUCACCAUCAGCAGAGACAAUUCCAACAACAUGCUGUACUUAACCAUGAACAACCUACAGACUGCAGACACAGCCGUGUAUUACUGUGCUCGAGAUACACAACUCAAGGCAACACACGUCAGACGAGGCAAGGCAUCUCCAAAACAUAACCAAGCCUCCUCCAUGUUUCAUAAAGAAGACAUCACUGUUAAACUAUGGAUCACAUCACUUGAUAUAAUGCAAGCAUUUAGUAUGGUUGAUGAGCUGAAGAGCCUAUAUAUUAGUUUGCAUGAGAAAGUUGAUGAAGACUUUCAAGAACCUACCAGCAUGCUGUAUGGCUUGCUGCUGAAAUCAAUGUAG